rnacentral:rRNA from 1 species
GAUGAACGCUGGCGGCGCGCCUAACACAUGCAAGUCGAACGGAGCUGAGAGAAGCUUGCUUUUCUUAGCUUAGUGGCGAACGGGUGAGUAACGCGUGAGUAACCUGCCCUGGAGUGGGGGACAACAGUUGGAAACGACUGCUAAUACCGCAUAAGCCCACGAUCCGGCAUCGGAUUGAGGGAAAAGGAUUUAUUCGCUUCAGGAUGGACUCGCGUCCAAUUAGCAAGUUGGUGAGGUAACGGCCCACCAAGGCGACGAUUGGUAGCCGGACUGAGAGGUUGAACGGCCACAUUGGGACUGAGACACGGCCCAGACUCCUACGGGAGGCAGCAGUGGGGGAUAUUGCACAAUGGGGGAAACCCUGAUGCAGCGACGCCGCGUGGAGGAAGAAGGUUUUCGGAUUGUAAACUCCUGUCGUUAGGGACGAUAAUGACGGUACCUAACAAGAAAGCACCGGCUAACUACGUG